AUGAGUAGGGCGGGACACGUGGUAUCCUGUCUGAAUAUGGGGGGACCAUCCUCCAAGGCUAAAUACUCCUGACUGACCGAUAGUGAACCAGUACCGUGAGGGAAAGGCGAAAAGAACCCCGGCGAGGGGAGUGAAAAAGAACCUGAAACCGUGUACGUACAAGCAGUGGGAGCACGCUUAGGCGUGUGACUGCGUACCUUUUGUAUAAUGGGUCAGCGACUUAUAUUCUGUAGCAAGGUUAACCGAAUAGGGGAGCCGAAGGGAAACCGAGUCUUAACUGGGCGUUAAGUUGCAGGGUAUAGACCCGAAACCCGGUGAUCUAGCCAUGGGCAGGUUGAAGGUUGGGUAACACUAACUGGAGGACCGAACCGACUAAUGUUGAAAAAUUAGCGGAUGACUUGUGGCUGGGGGUGAAAGGCCAAUCAAACCGGGAGAUAGCUGGUUCUCCCCGAAAGCUAUUUAGGUAGCGCCUCGUGAAUUCAUCUCCGGGGGUAGAGCACUGUUUCGGCAAGGGGGUCAUCCCGACUUACCAACCCGAUGCAAACUGCGAAUACCGGAGAAUGUUAUCACGGGAGACACACGGCGGGUGCUAACGUCCGUCGUGAAGAGGGAAACAACCCAGACCGCCAGCUAAGGUCCCAAAGUCAUGGUUAAGUGGGAAACGAUGUGGGAAGGCCCAGACAGCCAGGAUGUUGGCUUAGAAGCAGCCAUCAUUUAAAGAAAGCGUAAUAGCUCACUGGUCGAGUCGGCCUGCGCGGAAGAUGUAACGGGGCUAAACCAUGCACCGAAGCUGCGGCAGCGACGCUUAUGCGUUGUUGGGUAGGGGAGCGUUCUGUAAGCCUGUGAAGGUGUGCUGUGAGGUAUGCUGGAGGUAUCAGAAGUGCGAAUGCUGACAUAAGUAACGAUAAAGCGGGUGAAAAGCCCGCUCGCCGGAAGACCAAGGGUUCCUGUCCAACGUUAAUCGGGGCAGGGUGAGUCGACCCCUAAGGCGAGGCCGAAAGGCGUAGUCGAUGGGAAACAGGUUAAUAUUCCUGUACUUGGUGUUACUGCGAAGGGGGGACGGAGAAGGCUAUGUUGGCCGGGCGACGGUUGUCCCGGUUUAAGCGUGUAGGCUGGUUUUCCAGGCAAAUCCGGAAAAUCAAGGCCGAGGCGUGAUGACGAGGCACUACGGUGCUGAAGCAACAAAUGCCCUGCUUCCAGGAAAAGCCUCUAAGCAUCAGGUAACAUCAAAUCGUACCCCAAACCGACACAGGUGGUCAGGUAGAGAAUACCAAGGCGCUUGAGAGAACUCGGGUGAAGGAACUAGGCAAAAUGGUGCCGUAACUUCGGGAGAAGGCACGCUGAUACGUAGGUGAAGCGACUUGCUCGUGGAGCUGAAAUCAGUCGAAGAUACCAGCUGGCUGCAACUGUUUAUUAAAAACACAGCACUGUGCAAACACGAAAGUGGACGUAUACGGUGUGACGCCUGCCCGGUGCCGGAAGGUUAAUUGAUGGGGUUAGCGCAAGCGAAGCUCUUGAUCGAAGCCCCGGUAAACGGCGGCCGUAACUAUAACGGUCCUAAGGUAGCGAAAUUCCUUGUCGGGUAAGUUCCGACCUGCACGAAUGGCGUAAUGAUGGCCAGGCUGUCUCCACCCGAGACUCAGUGAAAUUGAACUCGCUGUGAAGAUGCAGUGUACCCGCGGCAAGACGGAAAGACCCCGUGAACCUUUACUAUAGCUUGACACUGAACAUUGAGCCUUGAUGUGUAGGAUAGGUGGGAGGCUUUGAAGUGUGGACGCCAGUCUGCAUGGAGCCGACCUUGAAAUACCACCCUUUAAUGUUUGAUGUUCUAACGUGGACCCGUGAUCCGGGUUGCGGACAGUGUCUGGUGGGUAGUUUGACUGGGGCGGUCUCCUCCUAAAGAGUAACGGAGGAGCACGAAGGUUGGCUAAUCCUGGUCGGACAUCAGGAGGUUAGUGCAAUGGCAUAAGCCAGCUUGACUGCGAGCGUGACGGCGCGAGCAGGUGCGAAAGCAGGUCAUAGUGAUCCGGUGGUUCUGAAUGGAAGGGCCAUCGCUCAACGGAUAAAAGGUACUCCGGGGAUAACAGGCUGAUACCGCCCAAGAGUUCAUAUCGACGGCGGUGUUUGGCACCUCGAUGUCGGCUCAUCACAUCCUGGGGCUGAAGUAGGUCCCAAGGGUAUGGCUGUUCGCCAUUUAAAGUGGUACGCGAGCUGGGUUUAGAACGUCGUGAGACAGUUCGGUCCCUAUCUGCCGUGGGCGCUGGAGAACUGAGGGGGGCUGCUCCUAGUACGAGAGGACCGGAGUGGACGCAUCACUGGUGUUCGGGUUGUCAUGCCAAUGGCACUGCCCGGUAGCUAAAUGCGGAAGAGAUAAGUGCUGAAAGCAUCUAAGCACGAAACUUGCCCCGAGAUGAGUUCUCCCUGACCCUUUAAGGGUCCUGAAGGAACGUUGAAGACGACGACGUUGAUAGGCCGGGUGUGUAAGCGCAGCGAUGCGUUGAGCUAACCGGUACUAAUGAACCGUGAGGCUUAACCUU
rnacentral:rRNA from 1 species